rnacentral:rRNA from 1 species
CAUGCAAGUCGAGCGGUAACAGAGAUAGCUUGCUAUCUGCUGACGAGCGGCGGACGGGCGAGUAAUGCUUGGGAACAUGCCUUGAGGUGGGGGACAACAGUUGGAAACGACUGCUAAUACCGCAUAAUGUCUACGGACCAAAGGGGGCUUCGGCUCUCGCCUUUAGAUUGGCCCAAGUGGGAUUAGCUAGUUGGUGAGGUAAUGGCUCACCAAGGCAACGAUCCCUAGCUGGUUUGAGAGGAUGAUCAGCCACACUGGGACUGAGACACGGCCCAGACUCCUACGGGAGGCAGCAGUGGGGAAUAUUGCACAAUGGGCGCAAGCCUGAUGCAGCCAUGCCGCGUGUGUGAAGAAGGCCUUCGGGUUGUAAAGCACUUUCAGUCAGGAGGAAAGGUUAGUAGUUAAUACCUGCUAGCUGUGACGUUACUGACAGAAGAAGCACCGGCUAACUCCGUGCCAGCAGCCGCGGUAAUACGGAGGGUGCGAGCGUUAAUCGGAAUUACUGGGCGUAAAGCGUACGCAGGCGGUUUGUUAAGCGAGAUGUGAAAGCCCCGGGCUCAACCUGGGAACUGCAUUUCGAACUGGCAAACUAGAGUGUGAUAGAGGGUGGUAGAAUUUCAGGUGUAGCGGUGAAAUGCGUAGAGAUCUGAAGGAAUACCGAUGGCGAAGGCAGCCACCUGGGUCAACACUGACGCUCAUGUACGAAAGCGUGGGGAGCAAAUAGGAUUAGAUACCCUGGUAGUCCACGCCGUAAACGAUGUCUACUAGAAGCUCGGAACCUCGGUUCUGUUUUUCAAAGCUAACGCAUUAAGUAGACCGCCUGGGGAGUACGGCCGCAAGGUUAAAACUCAAAUGAAUUGACGGGGGCCCGCACAAGCGGUGGAGCAUGUGGUUUAAUUCGAUGCAACGCGAAGAACCUUACCUACACUUGACAUACAGAGAACUUACUAGAGAUAGUUUGGUGCCUUCGGGAACUCUGAUACAGGUGCUGCAUGCUGUCGUCAGCUCGUGUUGUGAGAUGUGGGUAAGUCCCGCAACGAGCGCAACUCUAUCCUUAGUUGCUAGCAGGUAAUGCUGAAACUCUAAGGAGACUGCCGGUGAUAAACCGGAAGAAGGUGGGGACG